rnacentral:rRNA from 1 species
UGGGAUAUGCUCUAUUAGCUAGUUGGCGGGAUAAAAGCCCACCAAGGCAAUGAUAGAUACCUGGUCUUAGAGGAUGAACAGCCACAAUGGGAUUGAGAUACGGCCCAUAUUCCUACGGGAAGCAGCAGUAGGGAAUCUUCCACAAUGGACGAAAGUCUGAUGGAGCAAUACCAUGUGAACGAUGAAGGCCUUUUUGGUUGUAAAGUUCUUUUACGAGGGAUAAUUAUGAUAGUACUUCGUGAAUAAGUGACAGCAAACUAUGUGCCAGCAGCUGCGGUAAUACAUAGGUCGCAAGCAUUAUUCGGAAUUAUUGGGC